CCUUAAAAAAGUUACACUUCUCCAUCUUAAGAGUCAGUUUGGCUUCCUUUAAGCGAUCCAGAAUUUGUUCUAAGUUAUCUGCGUGAUUAGAAAAUAUAUCGCCCAGGAUAAUUAUGUCAUCAAGGUACACCUGAACCUUGUUGCUUAAUAGUCCUGUAAGGACAGUGCUUAUUAUUUUCUUGCAGCAGGACGGGGCUGUUUUAAGGCCAAAGGGGAGGGAAGUAAAUUCCCAAUGUCCUGCUGGAGAAGAAAAUGCCGUCUUCUCUCUGCUGAUUUCAUCUUGGGGGAUUUGAUGGUAACCCUGUUUCAAGUCUAGGCAUGAAAAAAACCUUACUAUCUCCCAAUUGAUUGAGUAUAGUAAUUAUAUUAGGGAGUGGGUACCGGUCGUCCCGUAGUGUUUUAUUAAGUGCCCGGAAGUCCAGACAAAGUCGUAGUACUCCAUGUUUUUUUGCACUGGGAUAAGUGGGGCAUUAUAGGGUGAUCGCGAAGGGCGAAUCACACCCUGUUGCUGGAGCGAUAUAAGUUGUUUAUUUACUCUGUCAUGAUAACUGAUAGGAAUGUUAUACGAACGCCUGUACACUACUUCAUCAGUGUUUUGCUUGAUGGUGCUUAAAAAAAUAGGGCGUUACUGUUAAUGGUUCUUGUUCUGUGGAAAACACUGUUAUAUAUUUAUCUAUUAAGGACUUUAAAACCUGAUUCUCUCUCUUCACUUGGGAAUUUAGCGUCAACAAUUUGAUAGAGGCUUUUCUUCCUUACUUCAAGCUCUGCGGGCUUCAAGUCUGUUUUAGCUGUGUCAGCGAUCUGUACACUAGAUACUUGUGGCAGAUCAGCGUAUAGCUCAUGAGUGACAGGCUUCACAGAUCCUAACGUUGUAUUAUCAUCUAUCUUUACACUCACUUUCAAUAUUCAAAUACGGCACAGUGACAUAAGAUCUUUGAUUGUCAGAUGAAGGGGUUAACUUAACUAUCCCUGAGCACAAGACUCUAGCCUGAGGAGUACUAACACAAGGCUCAAAUAAAGCUUCACUUGCCUGUAGUUGCGUCACUAGCGUUAUGUAACCUGCAACAGAUGCAUGCAGUUGCAAAGGUUCCGCUGCUUGGCAACGUACGGCCUUAUUUUCAGUGAGACCUUCUUCAUUUCCAUCUACAUUUAGCUAAGAUCCUUCACCUCUAGAUAUAAGACAUAUUUUUCCUGGCAUAAUUGUAUGGUUUCCCCUUCUAUUAUCAGUUUUAAGCUUCGUUCUUUUGUUCCUCAUUUAGUUGCAAUGUUUUCAAAAUAAUCUCGUGCUACACGACAAAUCAGUACUCAACAUAAUAUGAGUUGGCAAAUCUACAUCGCGUGUUAUCAAUAAGUCUUGGAAACUACUUUUUCCUUCCAUAUUAACUUGUCUUUUAUCGUCAUUUUCAAUAUGGUAUCUUUGCACAGAGACAAUAUUCACGGGUUUCGCUUCACAGUUAUUUACUGCGAGCCCUAAUUCUUUAAUAAAUUCAUCCGUUAAAACUCACACACGCUCCUGUUUGUAGGAGUGCUGCCACUUUUGCAUAUGUAUUAUCAUGAGUAGUGCGAUCUGCCUAACAAAGUUACUCUUGAGUUAUGUUGAUUAUAGCCUUCUUGUCAUUAUUUUUAAGGUCACUCCCUUGUUCGUUAUAGCCUUCUUUUCCUUAUAUUUAUGUGAGGCGGUUACUCCCUUGUUCGUUAUAGCCUUCUUUUCCUUAUAUUUAUGUGAGGCGGUUACUCCCUUGUUCGUUAUAGCCUUCAUCUUAUAUUAAAGGUUACUCCCUUCUUCGUUAUAGCCUUCAUCUUAUUAUAUUAAAGGUUACUCCCUUAUUCGUUGUAGCCUUCAUCUUAUUAUAUUAAAGGUUACUCCCUGUUUUGUUCUUCGCUCAUUUUCCGUUUUUUCCACUGCAAGUGUGCAUAUUUAUUUAUUUAUUUAUUUAUUUUCAUUUGUUUAUUUAAUGUUAUUUGUAGUAGAUAACUGAGGGGGGCACUACCCUGGCCUCCUCUUCCUCUGAUUCUCUUACUUCACACAUUUAUCUUAAUACUUCACACUAUUGUCCAUAUGCUUCAUUUUUUAAUUUUUUUAUUCAUGACUUUUUAUCCAUACCUCACACUUUUCUUAGUAUUUCACAUUUUUUCUAGAUCAUACUCUACACUUCCUACCUGGGGGACGCGGGUUAGGCCUUUAUAAAGUCACUCUAUGGCUGCAUGCCCGCCGCGGCACACCACCACCCUGUGAGGCGUAGAGCCCCGUGCUCCCCUCCAUCCUGGGGUAACAAUCCUAAAACAAACAAACCUGAGAGGCAGGACGCUGCCGCUGCCUGUCACCUGACACCAUCUCACUGAGGAGUGGAUCACGGCGCCGGUGGAGAGAGACUGCCCAUCCCUCUCCACUCCGCCCGGGAAGGAACUCAUGAAUUCUCGGUUGAGUCGCGUGUGCUACCCAUUGCACUACAGAACAACAGUGGUUGGCCAGAGUUUCCAUUACCAUAUCGUCAAAGUCCAUGUCCUCCGGAAGAACCAUUAAUUAUAUAAUUAAAUCGUCACUAUUAUUUCCGCCACUUAAAACGAGCAAAGCUUAAUGAAAAUAAGAGGCGUUUUCUCGUCAGAGUAAAUUAAACAAAAGCACUGUAAGCACAUGUCCCUAUUUAUCCCUACACCGCUGCCGCCAGUUUUAGACCCUUCUUUUCUUGUAUUAAAUCAACUCUUUUAUCACUCAUUAAUUACUCCAUAAAUGAUCUCACCGUCUCGUAUCCCUGGUAGCGUGAUCCGGCUUAAGUUGUUAUUGGAGACUGGUGUUCGGGGAUAAACAAGGGAAAAAGUAAAUAUACAUUUAUUUAAAAUUAAAUGAAAGUAAUUGCCUUACGCAAUAUUCUAUGCUCAGACGAUCAUAACACUGGCAUAUUCAGCAAUGGAUGCAACAUAUGACAAACGACAUGUCUUAAACAUAAUACUACAAUAUGUGCUCAGUUGUUGCCAAUAAUAAUAACACUCGUCGUUCCACAAGCAGUGGUUUGUAUCUCUCUGCUUACAUCACAAUCAUUAUGUACUCUCUUCACAAAAUCCUAAUAACACAUUCCUAUAGUAUAAUCUACUACAAGUCAUGGAAACACCCAAUUUUACCACACCCAGUGGUUUUACCUUUGCUUUACAUCGCAAACAAAUAAUCACAAUCCUGUCCCACUCACAAUCCUACUUCACAUCUCCUACAUUAUAAUCUCCAGGACAAUACAGUCGGUUUCCCUUAGAUUCUCGAAUUUCUACUCACGAUUAAGAUCACAACAGCCAUCCUCGGCUGAGUGAGUAGCAGGUCUGCUUGAGGCGAGAACCAAGCUCGGUCUACCCAUACCACUGAUCUCUAGGCCACAUUUUUCUUUGCUUUAGGCGGACUUACAUCCUUGACACGCCCUUAAUUUUCUACAUAACCAAUGGCCAAUACUUCCUGUCACACCCAUCUGCUCGCUCAUUAUGUUGUAUUGUUUUACUUCUGCUAUUCGUGAGUCAGUCUUAAGACACUCCCACAGUGAUUUUUCUGUUAAAUUAUUGGCUCAUAACAUGUCGCCACGACUGACGUCACGGGUCAGAGUCUUUUUCAAUGGUUGUUCACACUUUCUGACCACGCCUACUGGGUAUCUGUUUUCUGUAUCUGAGUCUGGGUAUCUGUUUUCCUUUACCCUCGUUGUUUCCCCUCUUUGGUACUUGAGAUGCUUACACUGUUAUAUAUGUCACUUUUUUUUGUUAGUGUUUGUCCUGUCAGAUUUCUACACAGUUGUAUACCUGCCUUUCCUCUCUGGGUAUCUGUUUUCCUUUACCCUCGUUGUUUCCCCUCUUUUGUACUUGAGAUGUUUACACUUAUAUAUAUGUCACCCUUUUUGUUAGUGUUUGUCCUGUCAGAUGUUUACACAGUUGUAUAUCUCACUCCUCUGUUUCCUCGUUUUCUGGGUCC